UUUCCUUCACACCACCUGCCGCUGCCGCGUGUGUGACCUCAGGUGGCUGGCUGUUUGUUGAGGGUCAGAGCUGAGCUCCUGGGCUUCAGUUAGCCAAAAGGAGCUGAUGAGUGUGAAACACUUGGCUCCCGAAGCUGGCACGGGACUGCACAUCCAGAGGCCAGCCUGUCCUGCCACCGUCUCCAUGAUACCAUGAGGAGCCGAACUCAGAGGGUGGAGUCUGAGAGUGGCAACCAGUACCUGGCAGAGCCCCACCAUCCCCUGGACCUGGAUGCUGAGCUCCAACCUCCUUCUAGAGAAGGGAACAGCUGCCUAGAAGGAUUCUCGCACUCGGAGCCAGUGGACUUCUUUAGGAAAUUGAAACACUGAUUACAAGACCAAUGCAUAUUCAUUGAAGAUAAUUUAGAAAAUGCAGUUUGCCAAAGGAAGAAAAUAAAACUCACCAGCAUUCUCACUACCCAGAGAUAGCUACAGCUGCUGGGCUGCCGUGUGUAAUUUAAGACUUUGAGGGAAAAUUUAAAAGACCAAGAUUCCUGAGCUGCUCUUAGGCAUGGCCCAGACAGGGCUUCUCCGACUAGUGCCACUGAGGUCCUGAGCCAGGGGGGCUUUUUGCUGCGGGCCACCUGUGCACUGCUGAUGCCUGGCCAUAGCCCUGCCUCUGCCCACCCUAUGGCAGCACUACCCCUCCCCGACGGCCAUGCUGGUCCUGGCCGAACAUGGCUGGGGCUGGAGGAAGAGGCUCUGAAGUUAGCCAUGCCUGGCUUUUCAUCCCAGUUUGGGUAUAGACUCAGGCAAGUCAGCUAAGGACCAGGGGCUUCAUGGUCCCCAUUGUGAGACAGGGGGACCAGCAGGCAGAGCAGAUGUGGCGGGGACACAGAGAGCACUCAGUAUGAUGGAGCUGCUGUUGGCAUCAGCACCUGGUAGAUGGUGGCCUUUUUGGUGAGGUCCAAUUUCACAGAACCCAAAGAAGUCAACCACAGAACUCACGUGUGCUUUGCUCCUGAGCAAGACAUGUCGCUUGUCUCCUGGCAUCUCUGGGAGCCAACAGGAGGCUAAGAGUGUGGCUCUGGGCCUGGCCAGCCUGCUUCUGUGACCCACCUUUGUCCCCAACUUGUGUGACAUCAGGCCACACAGGGACGGGGCAGGAGAGAGCGAGAAGGACAGAGGGCAGAAGGAGAAGAUCCCUGGCCAUCCGGGUUACAGGUUCCCGGCAUGGAGCAGGCAUUCAGCUGACAUCAAAUUUCACCGAUUGGCCAGGUGAUGAACGGGCUACGGAAGUGCAGAAGUCCUGUUUUCUGCCCCUGGGGGUUCGCAUCUCGGCCCAUCUGGGAGAACUGCAGGUCAGGAGGCUGCCACUGACAUCUGAGGAGCCUUUGGCAGAGCCCUCAGCCUUUCCCAGGGGUGGGAAUGUGAGGACACUUCUUCCAGCCAGUUUUUGUGUGUG